rnacentral:tRNA from 1 species
GUAUAUAUAGCUCAGUGGUAGAGUGUGUGCUUAGCAUGCAUGAGGUCCUGGGUUCAAUCCCCAGUACUUCCA